rnacentral:rRNA from 1 species
AUUGAACGCUGGCGGCAGGCCUAACACAUGCAAGUCGAGCGAGCGGCGGACGGGUGAGUAAUGUCUGGGAAACUGCCUGAUGGUGUGGGAUAACUACUGGAAACGGUAGCUAAUUCCGCAUCCCAUCAGAUGUUCCCCGAUGGGGUUAGCUAGUAGUUGGGGUAAUGGCUCACCUCGGCGACGAUCCCUAGCUGGUCUGAGAGGAUGACCAGCCAAACUGGAACUGAGAAACGGUACAGACUCCACCGGGAGGCGGGAGUGGGGAAUAGUGCACAAGGGACGAAGGCCUGAUGCGGCCAUGCCGCGUGUGUGAAGAGGGCCUUCGGGUUGUAAGGCACAUUCAGCGGGGAGGCGUUACCCGCAGAAGAAGCACCGGCUAACUCCGGGCCAGCAGCCGCGGUAAUAC